GUGAACGCUGGCGGUAGGCCUCACACCUGCAAGUCGAACGGCAGCACAGUAAGAGCUUGCUCUUACGGGUGGCGAGUGGCGGACGGGUGAGGAAUACAUCGGAAUCUACUUUUUCGUGGGGGAUAACGUAGGGAAACUUACGCUAAUACCGCAUACGACCUACGGGUGAAAGCAGGGGAUCUUCGGACCUUGCGCGAUUGAAUGAGCCGAUGUCGGAUUAGCUAGUUGGCGGGGUAAAGGCCCACCAAGGCGACGAUCCGUAGCUGGUCUGAGAGGAUGAUCAGCCACACUGGAACUGAGACACGGUCCAGACUCCUACGGGAGGCAGCAGCGGGGAAUAUUGGACAAUGGGCGCAAGCCUGAUCCAGCCAUACCGCGUGGGUGAAGAAGGCCUUCGGGUUGUAAAGCCCUUUUGUUGGGAAAGAAAAGCAGCAGGUUAAUACCCCGCUGUUCUGACGGUACCCAAAGAAUAAGCACCGGCUAACUUCGUG
rnacentral:rRNA from 1 species